rnacentral:hammerhead_ribozyme from 1 species
AUCCAGCUGACGAGUCCCAAAUAGGACGAAACGGCGCAUGUCCUGGAU